CUGAAGUCGCUGAGGGGUUCGUUGCUGGCUCUAUGGAGCAUUCGUGCACGCUUGUUGUUUCUCAUUUUUACAUCCAUUGUGCAUCAUUUGUAGAAUCUGGUUUAGGACUGCUUAGCUUUAGCAUUUUGCAGGCUUUCCUUAUCAUUUCAGAUCCUAUGUCUUUGUCCAUAUACUCCAAUGUGUUAAUAAGGUGUUAUAUAUAUAUUAUAUCA
rnacentral:misc_RNA from 1 species